rnacentral:rRNA from 1 species
AUUGAACGCUGGCGGCAGGCCUAACACAUGCAAGUCGAACGAGUGGCAGACGUGUGAGUAAUGUCUGGGAAACUGCCCGAUGGAGGGGGUUAACUACUGGAAACGGUAGCUAAUACCGCAUACCAUCGGAUGUGCCCAGAUGGGAUUAGCUAGUAGGUGGGGUAAAGGCUCACCUAGUCGACGAUCCCUAGCUGGUCUGAGAGGAUGACCAGCUACACUGGAACUGAGACACGGUCCUGACUCCUACGGGAGGCAGCAGUGGGGAAUUGUGCACAAUGGGCGCAAGCCUGAUGCAGCCAUGCCGCGUGUGUGAAGAAGGCCUUCGGGUUGUAAAGUACUUUCAGCGGGGAGGCGUUACCCGCAGAAGAAGCACCGGCUAACUACGUGCCAGCAGCCGCGGUAAUAC